rnacentral:rRNA from 1 species
GUCGAGCGAGCUUGCCUAGAUGAUUUUAGUGCUUGCACUAAAUGAAACUAUAUACAAGCGAGCGGCGGACGGGUGAGUAACACGUGGGUAACCUGCCCAAGAGACUGGGAUAACACCUGGAAACAGAUGCUAAUACCGGAUAACAACACUAGACGCAUGUCUAGAGUUUGAAAGAUGGUUCUGCUAUCACUCUUGGAUGGACCUGCGGUGCAUUAGCUAGUUGGUAAGGUAACGGCUUACCAAGGCAAUGAUGCAUAGCCGAGUUGAGAGACUGAUCGGCCACAUUGGGACUGAGACACGGCCCAAACUCCUACGGGAGGCAGCAGUAGGGAAUCUUCCACAAUGGACGAAAGUCUGAUGGAGCAACGCCGCGUGAGUGAAGAAGGGUUUCGGCUCGUAAAGCUCUGUUGGUAGUGAAGAAAGAUAGAGGUAGUAACUGGCCUUUAUUUGACGGUAAUUACUUAGAAAGUCACGGCUAACUACGUGCCAGCAGCCGCGGUAAUACGUAGGUGGCAAGCGUUGUCCGGAUUUAUUGGGCGUAAAGCGAGUGCAGGCGGUUCAAUAAGUCUGAUGUGAAAGCCUUCGGCUCAACCGGAGAAUUGCAUCAGAAACUGUUGAACUUGAGUGCAGAAGAGGAGAGUGGAACUCCAUGUGUAGCGGUGGAAUGCGUAGAUAUAUGGAAGAACACCAGUGGCGAAGGCGGCUCUCUGGUCUGCAACUGACGC